rnacentral:rRNA from 1 species
UACAGAGGUCCCAAGCGUUGUUCGGAUUCACUGGGCGUAAAGGGCGCGUAGGCGGCCUGAUAAGUAGGGGGUGAAAUCCUGCGGCUUAACCGCAGGGCUGCCUUCUAAACUGUCAGGCUAGAGCACAGUAGAGGCAGGUGGAAUUCCCGGUGUAGCGGUGGAAUGCGUAGAGAUCGGGAAGAACAUCAGUGGCGAAGGCGGCCUGCUGGGCUGUUGCUGACGCUGAGGCGCGACAGCGUGGGGAGCAAACAGG